rnacentral:rRNA from 1 species
AUUUUUCUGCCACCGAAUACAUUAGCAUGGGAUAAUGGAAUAGGACCCUGUCCUCCUAUUUUCAGUUGGUUUUGGCAGCGCGAGGACUAGGGUAAUGAUUAAUAGGGAUAGUUGGGGGCAUUAAUAUUUAAUUGUCAGAGGUGAAAUUCUUGGAUUUAUGAAAGAUUAACUUCUGCGAAAGCAUCUGCCAAGGAUGUUUUCAUUAAUCAAGAACGAAAGUUAGGGGAUCGAAGACGAUCAGAUACCGUCGUAGUCUUAACCAUAAACGAUGCCGACCAGCGAUUAGGAGACGUUGAAUACAAAACACCACCAUCGGCGCGGUCGUCCUUGGCGUUCGUGUUCACGCACGAGCGCGAGGGCGGUUUAGCCCGGUGGCACCGGUGAAUGACUCCCCUAGCAGCUUGUGAGA